GCUGGCGGCGUGCCUAACACAUGCAAGUCGAACGAGAAAGUGGAGCAAUCCAUGAGUAAAGUGGCGACCGGGUGAGUAACACGUGACUAACCUACCUUCGAGUGGGGGAUAACCUCGGGAAACCGGGGCUAAUACCGCAUAAUGCCUUCGGGUUAAAGGAGCAAUUCGCUUGAAGAGGGGGUCGCGGCUGAUUAGCUAGUUGGCGGGGUAACGGCCCACCAAGGCGAUGAUCGGUAGCCGGCCUGAGAGGGCGCACGGCCACACUGGAACUGAAACACGGUCCAGACUCCUACGGGAGGCAGCAGUGGGGAAUUUUGCGCAAUGGGGGAAACCCUGACGCAGCAACGCCGCGUGGAGGAUGAAGUCCUUUGGGACGUAAACUCCUUUCGACCGGGACGAUAAUGACGGUACCGGUGGAAGAAGCCCCGGCUAACUUCGUGCCAGCAGCCGCGGUAAUACGAGGGGGGCGAGCGUUGUUCGGAAUUAUUGGGCGUAAAGGGCGCGUAGGCGGUGCGGUAAGUCACCUGUGAAACCUCUGGGCUUAACCCAGAGCCUGCAGGCGAAACUGCCGUGCUG
rnacentral:rRNA from 1 species